rnacentral:tRNA from 1 species
GGGCGUAUUGGCGCGGCCGGAGCGGACUUUUAAUCCGUGGGUUCAGGGUUCGAGCCCCUGGGGGCCUA